AGUGGAAUUGCUGGGUCAUAUGGUUGUUAGUCCUAAUGUUAGUUUUUUGAGGAACUGCCAUGCUGUUUUCCACAAUGGCCGUGCCAUUUUGCAUUCCCACCAGCAAU
rnacentral:pre_miRNA from 1 species